CAAUGGCCUUCACAGAUGGAAUGUGAAUGUUUCACGGUCUGGCUUUGGACAGGAGAGCUGUUCUGGUAACUACGUUUCCCAGGCAAUGUUCAUUCUGUCAUUUCCCAGACGGAGACGGCAGCACUUCCUUACUUUGUGCACCACAAAAUGUUCCAAACUCAUCUUGUACUUUUCCUGUCUUUCAACCAUGGAAAAUUCCAAUCCAACGCUACAGAAAGAGGUGCCAAGGCAAUGGAAGAGGUGGAAAGAGUAGAGGCAAUGGGAUGAUGUUUGCCACCCACCAAAUCCCUUGGGUCAUAUAAGAGCUUCUAGACACUAGAAGUUUCAUUAGAGGAGGGACCUUUUUUGUCUUGGCUGCUGUUGUGUCCUCAAAGCCCAGAAUAAUGCCAAUCAACAAUGAAGAUGCUCAGUGACGUUUGUUGAAUGAGUAAACAAGGAGAGAAAAGAGAAAGAGGAAAAAAAGGAGAGAAAAAUAAUUGGUAGAACAGUCAAGAAGAUCACUUGUU